AGAGAGGGCCUUGUUUAUAAAAAGAAUGAGGUUUUUCUUGAUAUUGUGGAAAGCGUAAAUCUUCUCAUGUCUUCAAAAGGUAGCGUUCUACGUUGUGAUGUAACCGGGAAGGUUCUUAUGAAGUGCUUCCUUUCUGGAAUGCCUGAUUUGAAGUUGGGUUUAAAUGAUAAAAUUGGGCUUGAGAAAGAGUCGCAACUGAAAUCCCGUCCUGCUAAAAGUGGUAAAACGAUCGAGCUUGAUGAUGUUACUUUCCACCAAUGUGUAAAUUUGACAAGGUUCAACUCAGAGAAGACCGUUAGUUUUGUCCCACCGGAUGGUGAAUUUGAAUUGAUGAAGUAUCGCAUAACUGAGGGAGUUAACCUUCCAUUUCGGGUUUUCCCAACAAUCAAGGAACUUGGUCGAACGCGAAUGGAAGUGAAUGUUAAGGUCAAGAGUGUCUUUGGUGCAAAAAUGUU
rnacentral:misc_RNA from 1 species